GAAGAGUAGGCUCACACCCCACCAUCACCAAGACCAAAACCAAAACCUGAGUAGGUCAUUUGGUGCAUGAGGCCACAAGAUCCAAGAAUUCAUUGGCCUAGGGUAAAAAUUUGCGCCUAAAGUGGAAAAGGCAGCCAAUCUAUUUAUCUGGAAUUAGUUCCACCAUGAUACACGAGAGGGGGAGGAAACAUACACACACUAGCACUGGACAAGCAUGAAAUGAAACCAA
rnacentral:misc_RNA from 1 species